UCAUUUUUGAUCAACUAAAUGUGUCCUUGCUGAAGAAAAGUAUUAAUUUCUUUAAAAAAAAAAAGGCUUACUGACCCUAAACUUGUAUGUACUUGUUUAUAUUUAAGCGAUAUUUCAUCUACAUUAACAUAAUAUUGCCAGUUACUUAUUUUUGCUCUGUCAACAAAUAAAGCGACAACAUUAUUAACUGUUGCAUGUCUCAGAGCAACAUACAAUUAGUGGUAUUUAAUUCCUGAAUGAAUCAGUUGAGUGAAUGAUUCAGUGAUUUGCUUUAAAGAUUGUAUUCUUAAAUGAAUCGAAGAAUAAAUCAGUGCAUCAAAGUUCCUAAAUUAAGCAAUGAAUAUUGAAGAAAUUGUUUGACUGAUUCAGCGACUCACUAGUAAAGUGAGAAAUUUGUCGAAAGAAGCAUGGCACUACCUAAGUGUACUGUAUCUUGAAUUUAAGUGUGUUUUUUUAAUUGUUUAUACGUCAAUGAAGUGAAAAAAUAUACCAUGCAGUGAAAUACAACAUUUACCGGACACAUUUGCUCAUGUUUGCCUCAUGUGCAAGUGUUACUAGGGUAUAACAACAAGGGACAGCCUUACCGUGAGCGUCCCAUGGGUCUGUGUUUCUUGUUGCUUGUCACCAGAUAAGGCAGCAUGUGACUCUUGGGACAGAGAUCCCAGAUCAGAGGGAACAGGCUGUUUCAGUUACACGGGAAAGUCAUGCAGCACACAAAAAAGUACAAAAGUCAAAUCCCACAAAAAGUAUUUAGAAAACAAACUAAUCACUUAAUGACAGCAUAGUGUAAAUUCAGCGAUGAAAUGACGUGGGAGACACAUGUGGCUCUACGUCUGAUCAAGAACCACUCACGAGAGCCAUAUUUUAUUUUUCAUUCCCUUCGUUUGUGCGUCACUGAGCCACAAGGUUUUGAGGGUUGAUCUGAGAUAUCCCACAAUGCAUUCACAGAGAGACAGGAAGAUUCAAAGAGAAGAAUGAAAGUUUGGCUUAUUCACUGACUCUCUCGUGUGCUACAUUGAGACAAACAACCAUCAGAGCAGUUCGGGAUUCUGCUUUGGUGAAAUAGAAUCCAUUACAACACUGCAGGGAAUGGAUGGUUUGCUGGAAGAUUUACUUUAAGAUGACAACAGGCCUAGAGAGUCUCA
rnacentral:lncRNA from 12 species